rnacentral:rRNA from 1 species
CAUGGAGGGUGAGAAUCCCGUUCAUGGUUAAUCUUAAGGAUGCUCUACGAUACGUUCUCCAAGAGUCGAGUUGUUUGGGAUUGCAGCUCAAAAUGGGAGGUAAAUUUCUCCUAAGGCUAAAUAUUGGCGAGAGACCGAUAGCGAACAAGUACCGUGAGGGAAAGAUGAAAAGAACUUUGAAAAGAGAGUUAAACAGUACGUGAAAUUGUUGAAAGGGAAACGAUUGAAGUCAGUCAUACUAACGGGAAAUCAACCUCUUGAGUUUGGUCUCGUGGGUUUCGAAGAGUUUAAAAGCCUUCGGAUUUUCGAGAUUGGGCUCUUCUGGUGUACUUUCUCGUACGGUUAGUCAACAUCGGUUUUGAAUGUCAUAAAAUGACUGGAGGAAUGUGGCUUCGAUCUCGUAUUGAAGUGUUAUAACCUUUGGUAGAUGUGAUGUUUGAGACCGAGGAUUGCAACGGAUACCCUUCUGGGCUAUUCGUCUGAUCUCUGAAACGUUGCCUUGAUGUCGAAAGCUUGCUUAUGAUGUUAGGGUAUUACGGUCAAAAGGUUAGAACGGAUUAAAUUCGUUAAGGAUGUUGACGUAAUGG